UGCUCUGGAUAAGAUGGACGUCUUUCCUCUGACCUGUUACCAAGACAGCUGGAUGUGUAAGAAGCUGGAACUAAGUCACUGAAGAAGUAAACCGAUGAAAACCGAUUUGGAUUGUCUGAGAGAUGACACAAGUAAAAGGAGAAGAAUGCUGCUCAGCUGGGUUGGCGAAGCUCUUGGAUAUCAUCAGCACAUGUAUGAAGCACAGAGUCAUUCCGGUAGGCACAGAGUCGUUCCUCGAUGGACGUGAUGACCUGGGACCAAAACCGCUUAAUGUGUAUGAGGCUGUGUCUGCAUCGAGGGAAGAACCCAGCACUGAAA